UUUCCUCAAAAUAACCAGUAAGACUCACUUUUAAAUGGUGGCCCGUGAUUGGCCAAAAGGACCGUUUCAGUUACCUAAUUUCUUACCGAAAACGUAAACUCCGAACGCAACAAUUGCGCGGAUAACAAAAUUUCACUUAAAAUUCAAAUACAUAAAUAUUAAAAUUAAUAAUUUACAUAAUAAAAUUACGGCGUUAAUUUUACCGUUUACAGUUUUCAAGUCCAUUAGUCCUUAGAGGGGUAUCAACAAUACCUCGUUCAAAUAGUCCGGUAAAAAUCCAAAGAAUCACUUUUCCAUAGACAUACAUAACCAAAUAUUGCCGUUUCUGAAAAUAAAUGAUAUUAUACAUAGAGCAAACAAAAAUAAAAUAAAUCGUAAAUAAUAAUAAAUAAUUAAACUGUCAAAACAAACAUGUUGCAGUACAGAUUUUGCCGCCCUUGUCAAUUACAUUGAACAGUGCUCUUUGACCUGUUCAAAACGGUGCAAUGUGAUUGGCACUUCUCUUUCUCCGUCGCACAAUACACAACACUCUUCGUUGCCUAGCAACGCGCGCACCAAACGACAAACAAAAAAAACAACUUGAGAGAGACUACCUCUCCUCGAUUCGUUUUUUACCGUUGCGCGCCUGAAAAUCGCGCCUUUUUAAACACUUUUUAUCGGGUCGUCGCUGCUAACAGACCUGCGCGAAGAAGUUCACGGAUUUUGCAGUGCAAAAUCUUCGAAGGCUGGAACUGCUGCUGCUCUCCGACAGCUUCUGCCUUGAGCCGCUCCUGUUGAGAAGGACUCGGGAGGACUUACUUACUGUCACGUCACGGCAAUGGGUCAACGUCCAUCUGCGGUGAUGACUGCAUCCUUGCUGCGACUCCUCCUUCCUGCAGCGGACAGCGGCGUCGAGACGGCGCCUGUCCUCAAAACGACCAACAAACCUGGCCUGGUUCACCACGCGUCGACGGGGUCUGGCGUGGGGCGAUGAUGCUGUACCAGACAGCACGGCAUCUGGCACUGCAGCUGACGUCAUCAACUGCUGAUGUGGCGGCGUCCAGCCGCCCUGCCUCACGACUACGCGCGAGACGGCGUCGUGGCGUCUGCGGUGCUGAUUGCGUGGGGCGAGGUCACCACUUCCCACAAGGAAGCACUCGUCUAUUCCCAUCACUGUUAGGUACACAAUCGUUGCGAACCGCACUACGUCUAGCUCACUCUGGUGUAACCUUCGCACCUGACUUAAGUAUAGGUGUCCGGGUCUUAAUCGAUACCUUAAUCACUAUGUGCGUACUUGUACUCUUGCAAAUACAAGUGUCUGCAGGCAAUACAACUUGUGUACUUGCCGCGGAACACUAUGACGUCACCGUUAAAACAAAAAUAUCUUAAAUUAACCUUAAAAUUCCUAGCUUAACAUAUAACAUUCUCAUUAUUAACAUCAUUGUUAGAAAAAAAAAUAAAUAAAUACUAUUAAUUAUUAAAUCUCAAUUCUUGCAUAACAAUGCCUGGUUAUCAAUAUCCAUUAAAUUCAAUAUUAGUACUUUGCUUGCUACUAACAUAUCACAUUGUUAGUUCGUACUUGAUUAGUAUGCAUCACAGUGCAUUUGCUUGUUUGUGUUCUCAUUUCAUGAGAUUUCAUACAUUUCACCACAACAUUUCAUUAUAGCGUAUCAUUAUUGAAUAUCAAACAUCACAUGUUUUGCUUUUCAUUAUAACAUAUUGAUAGCUAACAUAAUUUAUAUUCAUUACUCAAUGUUUGUAACUUACAUGUUUACAUUUCAUUAUUAAAAAUAUUUGCAUUUAACUAUAGCAUAUUUAGCUUGCAAUUUACAUUUGCAUUUCAUCACACUUGUUAACAUUUCAUCCAAGAAUAUAUAUCAUAUCAUGUACAUACUGACAAUUAAUAGUUCAUUGUUAUGUUUACAUAGUACAUACUAGCAAUUGAUCAUAUAAUAUAACAUUUAUAUAUAACUAUAUAUAUAUAAUAACAUUUACAUAACAUACCAUUAACCUUUCAUUAUGUUUACAAGUUAUACAAUCAAAAUUUCAUAGCGUUUUUACACAUUGUUUACAUUAUCUUCUCCUAUACAGAGAAGUCGUUGGUUUACACAAUUACCAACUUAGUAACUUUUUCAAUUUCAGUCUGCUGUGCUCAGCUCAACAGCUGUAGAGGCUUUAUCUUCCUCCUCUCAUCUUCCAUUACUGUGUUUUCAUCCCGUAGCGGUCUCGCUGGGUUGAAUAAUGUUCACAUUUCAUCUCAUCUUGGUUACUAUCAGUAACACAUGAGUCUUGUAAUCUACUGAGGCUCCUGGCUUCAGUGUAGCUAAGGUUCCUUUUACAAAUCAGCUGUUUCACAAACAUGCUGUAUCAGGAUAGCUUUCAACAUAGGGUAUCACAUGUUCAAUAUCUUUUUCAUUUCUUUUUAAGAAAAUUUUCUUGCUUCUUCAAUUUUAUAACUUCUGUUAGGCGAAGUUGCUUGUGGACACUUGUUUGCCGGAGUAUCUUCACUUCUCGUGACAAAGGGCUUAGAUCCUGAGUUUUUCAGAUCCACAUUCUUCGCUAUUCUUCACAUCAUUCGAAGAAUACUAUUCAAGCAACUAUGACAGUGAUGCGAGUGAAUAGUGUUGAGACGACGUAAUUUUCUCGUAUAGGGGCUUCUCCCAAUAAAUUCUUAAAAAUCAUCGAUUUCAAA